GACGUAGGGCGCGAGCGUUGUCCGGAUUCAUUGGGCGUAAAGAGCGUGUAGGCGGCCAGGUAGGUCGGUUGUGAAAACUGGAGGCUCAACCUUCAGAGGUCGACCGAAACCAUCUGGCUAGAGUCCGGGAGAGGAGAGUGGAAUUCCUGGUGUAGCGGUGAAAUGCGCAGAUAUCAGGAAGAACACCCGUGGCGAAAGCGGCUCUCUGGAACGGUACUGACGCUGAGACGCGAAAGCGUGGGGGAGCGAACAGG
rnacentral:rRNA from 1 species